rnacentral:rRNA from 1 species
CAUGCCGUAAACGAUGUCUACUAGCCGUUGGGGGAUUUGAUCCUUUAGUGGCGCAGCUAACGCGAUAAGUAGACCGCCUGGGGAGUACGGUCGCAAGACUAAAACUCAAAUGAAUUGACG